GUAAAAUGAAGAAUUUAAUUGAAAUGAAUCUUAAUUUUUUACAGUAUUUAUUGUGAAGUCCUUUCAUUCUGAAGACCUUCCAAGUGUUUUAGGGCAAUAUAGGUAAUUAAAUCCCUUUUAGGGCUACAUAGGUAAUUAAAUCCCAACGUGCAAGUUCAGUUUGUAAGGGAAUGCUUGAAAGUUGGGGAUUAAGAAAAAUACUUUUUUCAGUGUUACUUUAUCAUGGUCUAUGACAGCAUUAUCAACAUGAAGAGCACCUAUAACAGCUGUAAUGAUGAUUUUAUUGUUUAUCAUGAGCCAAAAAGAGGUGUCUGUGGGGGGAAAUUACCCAGCCUGUGGGUAUAUAGAGAUUGCAGCCAAGGGUUUGUGGGAUUCUGUGAUACAUAAGGGCACAGAUUUGUUUACUAACAUUCCUGUUUUUUACAAAUCAACAAAUCACCACGAGGAAGUAUACUAUGAUUAAUAAAUAAGGUGAAUUUGUGUGUGUGUGACCAUCCCAGGACAGGUCCCAGAAGGGAACCAAAAUAAAUAAGUAAAUUCCUUUUCAUAUCACUGAGACAUAAGAGGCCAUAGGACACUGUCAUGUAGGUAACGAAAGGCUGCUGUUAAUUUGUCUUCCUUGGACAGCCAAUAGAUAGUGUUUCUUGUUUUUCUUUAUUUCUUUUUAAAUGCAUUUUAUUUCACGUCGACUCCCACUUUCUUGGGAGAGAAGUGGUCCCGCAGUUUCUCGUUUAGUCUUUACCUUUGGUACGUUCAGGCAGUGCCACGUGAGGUGCUCAGCUGCACGUCAGGACCGUGCCAGGCUCCCAGCCCUGAGGCUGAGGUGCCCAGGCCUGCUGCCAGGCAGGCCUCAGGCUGGCAGCCAUUUUCUCUCUGAGGUGUUCAGCCGCCAUUUUGUGACAGAACUUGGCUCGUCACAAACGGGUUGCCUCUGUAACUGCUCUGAUAACUCAACUUCUUAUCAGUUUACAUCUAUGAAACUGAGCUUAAAAAGUGGUUCUUUUGGAGUAGCUGAUCAGUACUGGAAGUUGGUGAAGAACUUAAGUUGGCCAGGACCUCCCGAGAUCCUCCCUCAAUCUGCUGGAGUUGCUGUACCUAUUGCAGUCCAAGUUGCUGCUCACCACUGUUGCUUCAGGGCCUUGCCGAUGGCUUUGCAGUCAGCUUGGUGACCACCAGGAGCUCCAGGUCUUUCUCUGCAGAGCUGCUGUCCAGUCACAAUCGCUCAUUGCUCCAAGCAAACCAGCUGGUAUAGCACAGAGCUAUGAAAAAACAAUGGAAGAUAAAUUCAGAGGGCAGAGUUGGUUGUCUUACAAGAGAUCUUU